rnacentral:tRNA from 1 species
UAGCUUGGUCAGUUGAGCGUGGCACUACCAAUGCCAAGGUCGCGGGUUCGAUUCCCGC